CAACGCACCGAAUAGACACCACAUCGACCUAUUUAUCUGGGACUUCUCUCUCUAAUAAUACAAUUCUUCCAAUUCCACCAUCAACGCACCGAAUAGACACCACAUCGACCUAUUUAUCUGGGACUUCUCUCUCUAAUAAUACAAUUCUUCCAAUUCCACCAUCAACGCACCGAAU